CAGCAGCCACGGGAAUACGAAGGGGGCUAGCGUUACUCGGAAUUACUGGGCGUAAAGGGCGCGUAGGCGGCACGAUUAGUCAGGCGUGAAAUUCCUGGGCUCAACCUGGGGACUGCGCUUGAUACGGUCGAGCUAGAGGAUGGAAGAGGGUUGUGGAAUUCCCAGUGUAGAGGUGAAAUUCGUAGAUAUUGGGAAGAACACCGGUGGCGAAGGCGGCCACCUGGUCCAUUACUGACGCUGAGGCGCGACAGCGUGGGGAGCAAACAGGAUUAGAUACCCCCGUAGUCCCUGUCUCUUAUAA
rnacentral:rRNA from 1 species